GACGAACGCUGGCGGCGUGCUUAACACAUGCAAGUCGAACGGAAAGGCCCUGCUUUUGUGGGGUGCUCGAGUGGCGAACGGGUGAGUAACACGUGAGUAACCUGCCCUUGACUUUGGGAUAACUUCAGGAAACUGGGGCUAAUACCGGAUAGGAGCUCCUGCUGCAUGGUGGGGGCUGGAAAGUUUCGGCGGUUGGGGAUGGACUCGCGGCUUAUCAGCUUGUUGGUGGGGUAGUGGCUUACCAAGGCUUUGACGGGUAGCCGGCCUGAGAGGGUGACCGGCCACAUUGGGACUGAGAUACGGCCCAGACUCCUACGGGAGGCAGCAGUGGGGAAUAUUGCACAAUGGGCGGAAGCCUGAUGCAGCAACGCCGCGUGCGGGAUGACGGCCUUCGGGUUGUAAACCACUUUCGCCUGUGACGAAGCGUGAGUGACGGUAAUGGGUAAAGAAGCACCGGCUAACUACGUG
rnacentral:rRNA from 1 species